GCGAAGCGGUGAAUUCAAGCCCCGGUAAACGGCGGUGGUAACUAUAACCAUCCUAAGGUAGCGAAAUUCCUUGUCGGGUAAGUUCCGACCUGCACGAAUGGCGUAAUGAUGGCCAGGCUGUCUCCACCCGAGACUCAGUGAAAUUGAACUCGCUGUGAAGAUGCAGUGUACCCGCGGCAAGACGGAAAGACCCCGUGAACCUUUACUAUAGCUUGACACUGAACACUGGUCCUUGAUGUGUAGGAUAGGUGGGAGGCUUUGAAGCGUGGACGCCAGUCUGCGUGGAGCCGACCUUGAAAUACCACCCUUUAAUGGCUGGUGUUCUAACGUAGACCCGUAAUCCGGGUUGCGGACAGUGUCUGGUGGGUAGUUUGACUGGGGCGGUCUCCUCCCAAAGAGUAACGGAGGAGCACGAAGGUUGGCUAAUCCUGGUCGGACAUCAGGAGGUUAGUGCAAUGGCAUAAGCCAGCUUGACUGCGAGCGUGACGGCGCGAGCAGGUGCGAAAGCAGGUCAUAGUGAUCCGGUGGUUCUGAAUGGAAGGGCCAUCGCUCAACGGAUAAAAGGUACUCCGGGGAUAACAGGCUGAUACCGCCCAAGAGUUCAUAUCGACGGCGGGGUUUGGCACCUCGAUGUCGGCUCAUCACAUCCUGGGGCUGAAGUAGGUCCCAAGGGUAUGGCUGUUCGCCAUUUAAAGUGGUACGCGAGCUGGGUUUAGAACGUCGUGAGACAGUUCGGUCCCUAUCUGCCGUGGGCGCUGGAGAAUUGAGGGGGGCUGCUCCUAGUACGAGAGGACCGGAGUGGACGCAUCACUGGUGUUCGGGUUGUCAUGCCAAUGGCACUGCCCGGUAGCUAAAUGCGGAAGAGAUAAGUGCUGAAAGCAUCUAAGCACGAAACUUGCCCCGAGAUGAGUUCUCCCUGAGACUUUAAGUCUCCUGAAGGAACGUUGAAGACGACGACGUUGAUAGGUCGGGUGUGUAAGCGCAGCGAUGCGUUGAGCUAACCGAUACUAAUGAACCGUGAGGCUUAACCUU
rnacentral:rRNA from 1 species